rnacentral:lncRNA from 1 species
CCAAUAGAUGCCACCAAAACAUUAGGAUCACCUCUUAUAUAUGUGCAAAUUAUGUGCAUCGAUGUGGCGAAGACUUGGUGUCUAGAUCUGAUAUAUGACCAAGCGAAGCAUCUCACGAGGAGAAAAGAAUUACAUGCAUCGGGGGAAAGCUCCAAGAGAGUAAGUAAUCUAGGUAAUCUUGCAAUGUGUAAGUUCACACUACGUACUCUAUUUUUAUUCUUUUUUUCAAAAGAAGUUUCUUUUCUCAUUGUUCUCUCAUAGUGUUAUAAGGAAGAUUAUCAAUCAUUUAUUGGAAGAAGAUGCUCUAAAUAUGCAUAGAUUUCUUUACACUGGCUAUGAGAUUGUGCAUGAAACUCAAGUUAAAUAUCACUAAUCUAGAACUGCUAGAGCUAAUAUCAUAUAACCUCUCUUAGUACCUAAUUGAGCACAUUGCAUAGGUAGAUGUGAAGGACUAGGCCAUUUUAUCAACAAUAAAUAAACUAGUAUUUGCGGUGAAUUCCCCUCCUAAGCGGCCAUGCAUUAUCAUUGGAAACGCCCACUUCUUGGGCAAAUAAAGCUCUUUUGAUCAUUUCUUCGAAAUCAAUAACAGAAGUUUGACCUUACCUACACACAAACCCUUUACAGCUUAUUUGGAUGGCUGUUACACAUCGUUUCAUAAUGUAUCGUAUCGUAUUGUAUUGUAAUAUACCGUUUGAUGAAUACAAUGUUUGGAUAGAUUGUAUCGUUUGCUGUUGUUUCAUGAUAUCACACACUAGCAAUAUGACGAAUAAACUUACAUUAUUAUAAAGAAAAAUUAUGAUAAAUGGUAAAUUUAUUAUAUAAAAAGGUAUGGUAAAGGAUAAAAUAAAAUUAUUUAAUAAUAAUGAAGGGCGAGAUGAGAGAAAAAGACAAGAUAACAACGCAACCACACCAAAUUGGUCGUUACAUAAAGUAACACAUUUCGUCGUUACGUAACGACGGAUUUACGAUACAAUACAAUAAAAUUUAAGUAACAACCAAAGCAAAACAUCGUAAUUAAAGUAACAAUACGAUACGAUACAAUAGGUAAUAACCAUCCAAACAAGCUGUUAGUAAAUUCAAUCAAACACUUGACCUUCACUCUGUUGUAUUCGACCAUUGUGUCCAAUUGAUCCUUCCUAUAGGAAAAAAUAUUAUACAGUUAGAAUUGAUAUGCAGAAUAGGAUGCAUCGCGUUUGGCAGAAAACUAACCACUUAAAAAGCAUAUAAUCCCUAAAACAGGAUAGAAAAGUGUAGAAGUGAAUCCAAACAAUGAAAUAACCUCUACCCCAUUUCGCAUAUUGCGUUCUGGAGAGGAUAGUGUGUACCCUACCUUGUAGAGGUAGAGAGGUUAUUUCCAAUAGACUACAGUCUACAAAUUCAUAAUCCAAAAUCAUCACUACAAUUUCCAAGAUAUAAACUAGGUUGUAGCAAUAGUAGUUGAAUUCCCUAAAGACUACGGUUCUGCCUAGUUAUAGAAAGUACAGGGUACGUUUUGAGCACACAGCAGCACUUCUGAAGCACAAUAAACACUAAAAACACACACACAGAAAAUACCCGCAAUAGAUUAGCAAAACAGAGGUCUCCAUGUUUGAGGCACCCUAACCCAACUUCUGCAACUGUUUGCCUUCCUUCCAGUUUGCUUUAAAUUUCUUUUUCUAUUUUUAGCUCUUUAUUGAUUUUCAUAUGUCUUCUAUAUAAGUAAAAAAGAGGAAUGGAAGGACAUUAGCGCAAGAAAGGGGUGAAAAAAAGCGCUGCUGUUCUUUUACCAGCUCCUUGUUAUAGUGUGG